UGGGGAAUCUUGCACAAUGGGGGCAACCCUGAUGCAGCGACGCCGCGUGAGCGAUGAAGCCCUUCGAGGCGUAAAGCUCUUUCGACCGGAACGAUAAUGACGGUACCGGGAGAAGAAGCUGCGGCUAACUACGUGCUAGCAGCCGCGGUAAUACGUAGGCAGCAAGCGUUGUUCGGAGUUACUGGGCGUAAAGAGUGCGUAGGCGGUUUUCUAAGUUCGGUGUGAAAUCUCCCGGCUUAACUGGGAGGGUGCGCCGAAGACUGGGAAGCUGGAGUGUGGGAAAGGCAGGCGGAAUUCCUGGUGUAGCGGUGAAAUGCGUAGAUAUCAGGAGGAACACCGGCGGUGUAGACGGCUUGCUAGACCAUAACUGACGCUGAGGCACGAAAGCGUGGGUAGCAAACA
rnacentral:rRNA from 1 species